rnacentral:lncRNA from 1 species
GGUCUCUGCAGCUGGUCGGCCACCAUAUUGGGGUUGCUCGCCGCCCGUCAGGCCUCGGCGCCACUUCUCCUUGCGGCCGCCCGACGAGGCGACUGCCCGGGGCAGGAUCCCGCUCCGAUUGGCCAGCCUUCCACCCCGGAUUAGGCGGAGGAGAUCGCGAACGACGGGGCUGAAUUCAUCUGGAGGCCUUAGCAGCAAGUGAGAUCAUGGAGGAAAAUGGUGAAGAUGUGGCUUCCCUGGCGGCCUACAUUUCAACAGAUGGCAGCUACACAGAGACCGUGCCCAUGCCGAAUCACGGCACACUGACGGCUUCCUCGCAGGGCUCUUCCUCUGCCACUAAAUCAAGGCGCCAGCCUGUUUGGACUGACGAGGAGACCCGGGCCUUCAUCCAGGUGUGGGGUGAUGACGCGGUGCAGAGUGCCCUGGCAUCAAACUAUCGCACAGUUGCACAGUUCCAGUGGAUAGCGGAUGAAAUGCGAGCCCGGGGUUACAACAGGGAUUGGGAGCAAUGCCGCGAACGUGCAAAGGUCCUUCGACGGGGCUUCAAAGAGAUAGUGGAUGGGAACAGCAACGUGGGCCACGGACGCCGCGUGUGGCCUUAUUUCGAAGAACUUAAUCGAUUUCUUUGCAUCAAGCAAAAUCUGGUCGUUCCACGGCUUUCAGGGAGCAACCCGAGGCCUCCUGUGGACCGCCGGCGCCGCGAGCACAGAGAAGCGCAAGAUGCCCCCUAUGAGCCAUCCCCAGUAGGCAAGAGCGACAAAGGGACUUUUGAAGAGCCAGACGGGGACUGUCUGUUGUUGCCCGAACCAGCAGGAUCUCAGCAGUGCGAAGCCAACCUGGAAAACCAAGUGGCGUCUCCAGCAAAUUCUGAUAUUUCCAUGGAUGGUAGUGUUGGUCCUGGCACUCCCACCGAUCCUUUGCCAUCCAAUGACUCAGUUACUGCGCCAAAUCUGCGCCCUCGGCCCCUGACCGCUGCAGAGAGGAUGCGUAAUCUUCGUUGCCGGCAAAGAAAGAGAAGGGGAGAUACUUUGAAAGAGCUGAUGGAAGUCACCUCCCAGGCUACCAGUGAACUAGUCCGGACAUUGUCCGACCUCACACAUAAAGAGGUGGCUUCUUUUGAGCGUGCUUAUAAGGAGGACCUGGCGGCCAGGAAGGACGAGAUGGAGCAGAGCGCUGAGGACAUUGGAAGGCUCGUGAGCGCUUUGGAAUCAAGCGAUCAAACUCUGAAGGAGCAGCUAAGCAGCCAGACCAGCGUACUGCAGGGCAUCUUGGAGGUCAUGAAAGACAUUCGGGGUAGAACAUCAUACAGUCCUCCGUAUCCAUCACAGUAUUACGAUUUCCCAGGCCCUAGCAUGAUUCACACAAGUGGUACUUCCUCAAAUGGCCAAGAGAUGCCAUGCUCCUCCCCUUCCAGCCUUCCAUUUCCUUCCCAGCAGUCUGCCACAAGCAACGGAGAUGUCUCUCCUCGGAAGCGGAUGAAAUGAAGCCAACAGUCGGAACGGCACUGAUGAUUUAGCGUCCUGGUGGAAACCAAUUCUCCAAUUCUUUGUUCCUGUUAGGACACAUAUAUUGCUUUCCUUACUGCCUUUCUUCUUGCAUAGUUAAAACAUGUUCUCAUCCCCCUUACGUGUGUCUCCCCCACAACGUUAACGUUGGGGAAACAGCCGCCAGCAAAUGUACAUCUAGAUUUAUUAUUACUUUUUUUUAGCGUACCUAUGUUAGUUUUCCUUCCAUCUUGUUUCCAAAGGAAUGCAGUGUUUGAUGUACAAGUAUAAUUUUUUUUUUUAAAAAAAUACAUACUUAAAACACAUUACCAGGUACCUGUAAGAGGGUAAUAUUUGAAAAGUAAUAAAACUGCACUGUUGUUCCA